UUUACAACCCUGUUUUUGUUGUGCAUCUUGGUCCAGGUUUGUCAUCUGUUGAUGCUCCACUGUUACCACAGACACCAAGAAAGAUCUGCUAUUACACCCGGGCCAUCAUUCUCCCAUGAGAAAUGGGAUCAUUUGGGCUUUUGUCACAUUUCACAUCUCUGAGAGGCUGAUUACGACCUGGAAGCAGCAUGACUGAGCCAUGCGACCUGAGGGAUGCCGGUUCCCGUGUGCGCACACGAGAAAGAUAUUUGGGGAGUAGGGUAUGAUAGCUCCAUCAAGAUGAUUAUUCAGCUUGGUCUGUUCCAUAAACACAGACUUAUAGAGAGGUUCAUGCUGUGGCAAUUCAUCACCAUUUCUGGCGGUUUUAGGACACCCUGAUAUCUGAACAUUUGGCCUCUCUUGCGCUGUUCAAAAGUAUGUCAUACAGAACUGUGAAUGAUUCACAUUGAAAACACAGAUGGUGCUUGCUGGGUCUUUUUUUUCCUGCUUCCCAACAACACACAGUCCAAGUCUCCUUAUAUGACUGUGAUAUUUUUCGUCAGUGCCAGCAAAAGAACCAAACAACACAUUUCUAGUGCCAGUUUUGACCGGUUUUGGGACGGUGCGCGCAGUGUACGGGCCAGAAAGGAACUGCUAUUUCAGAGCUGCACCGAAUAUAUGAGAGGAAGCUGCAAGAUAAAUCAAGACCGAACUGCAUCCUCUUUCCCAGUGAAAAUCCCCUUUCUAA